rnacentral:lncRNA from 1 species
AGACUGUCCUUGAAGCCCCUCCCCAGGUGUGUCCCAGGCAUAGAAUAAAAUGAGUGUUGCCUCCAGACUUCAAAGGUGGGGCAUCUUCAGCAUCUUCACCCUGUGUCUAGUUGGGCAAAAGUAUCCCGCCUGCUGCAGACAUUUUCUGAACAUCAUAGCUGAUGGACAUCAAUGACCCCACCCAACAGCAAGAAGCCAUGAUACUUACUGCAUUGAUGGUUCCCUUUGCCACGAAAGACACCAUCAUGCCUGUUAGAAUGCCAGGCCUUCUUUUGAGCAUCUUUUCACUUUGUCUCCCUGUAGUGUCGGCUUCAGGAGCUCUCCUUGAUAGCUUCAGGAGUCACAGAGGUUUAUUCUUGGAAAUUCUCUCAUGUUAUCUGUACACUG